AACGAACGCUGGCGGCAUGCCUAACACAUGCAAGUCGAACGAGACCUUCGGGUCUAGAGGCGCACGGGUGCGUAACGCGUGGGAAUCUGCCCUCAGGUACGGAAUAACUCAGGGAAACUUGAGCUAAUACCGUAUAAUGACUUCGGUCCAAAGAUUUAUCGCCUGGGGAUGAGCCCGCGUCGGAUUAGCUAGUUGGUGAGGUAAAGGCUCACCAAGGCGACGAUCCGUAGCUGGUCUGAGAGGAUGAUCAGCCACACUGGGACUGAGACACGGCCCAGACUCCUACGGGAGGCAGCAGUGGGGAAUAUUGGACAAUGGGCGCAAGCCUGAUCCAGCAAUGCCGCGUGAGUGAUGAAGGCCUUAGGGUUGUGAAGCUCUUUUACCCGGGAAGAUAACGACUGUACCGGGAGAAUAAGCCCCGGCUAACUCCGUGCCAGCAGCCGCGGUAAUACGGAGGGGCUAGCGUUGUUCGGAAUUACUGGGCGUAAAGCGCACGUA
rnacentral:rRNA from 1 species